rnacentral:rRNA from 1 species
CAGCCGCCGCGGUAAUACGUAGGUGGCAAGCGUUGUCCGGAAUUAUUGGGCGUAAAGGGCUCGCAGGCGGUUUCUUAAGUCUGAUGUGAAAGCCCCCGGCUCAACCGGAGAGGGUCAUUGGAAACUGGGAAACUUGAGUGCAGAAGAGGAGAGUAGAAUUCCACGUGUAGCGGUGAAAUGCGUAGAGAUGUGGAGGAACACCAGUGGCGAAGGCGACUCUCUGGUCUGUAACUGACGCUGAGGAGCGAAAGCGUGGGGAGCGAACAGGAUUAGAUACCCCUGUAGUCCCUGUCUCUUAUAC